UUAGCUAAUUUUAAAGAUUCACCAGAAUCAAUUGACCCACAUAGUUAUGUUGCCUCCAUCACUAGCAGCAACUACUAGAUAAGAUUGAAUGAAAGCUUCUAGCUUUUGUGGAUCAUAACUUUGGAGAAAAGCUAGAAAGAAAUGAGAAACUUUCUAGCUUUUAUGCCGUUCCUGGUUAAAGAUUUGUCGAUGUCAUGUCGGCAUUCAAAUUAAUCUCGGUUACCGAACCAACUCUAUGUUCUCAUGGCAGAUUUUGCACAUCUUCCCACGGAUGACAUUAACCCACGGCUACUCCGUCUCGAUGGUGGGUGGAAGGCUGCUCAGAUCCACAUUUUUCGUGAGGAACAGUAGGAUUCCAGAGCUGUAUGUUGGUUCCCAGGGCUUUGCACGACGUUGCCGAGGAUUUGACUCUCCCUCUUGCCUCCCUUCCCUGAUGGAUAUUCUGAUCUCGGUCCUGUCUUCCUGUUCUGACCAUGGUGACCGUUUGGAGAAGACAAAUCUGGUGGCAGUCGGCCAAGUUCGUGAGUGGUUCCAGCGUGCCGGCUCCUCCGACAUAGACCUGGUUGUUGUUCUAUAUGGCGGCGGUGCAGAGACGUUCUCGGUCUUAUUCCAAAGGUUAUUUUCAAUCUCGCCAACUUUCAUUCCCCUCCACCAUCAGCCAACGCCAUAUGAUGCUACUCCGACCUCCGAGAGCGUCUCUAGAUCUAAAGGUCCGCUGUUCUCCUUCUCGCUUUUAUUGGUGGAAGAAAUUUUCUUGGAAACGUUUCAUCAAUACCCCAGAUCUGAAAACAAAGACGAUUGACGUCUGCCGCCUGUCAUGUCUUUUCCGGCUAUUGCCGAGCCUCCAUCUCCGAUGACGACGUUGACGUCCCGAUAAGUUUCUCGAAAUCAACAACCACAAAACCUAGAAGUUUCAUCUUAUGGGCUUGGGUUUGGGCCAAAAUGUAUCCUAUGGAUUUGAAUUUCAAUUCAAUUACACAUUUCAUCAGGUUAAGCCUCAAUGUAAAGGGCCAACCUUGUUCUUUUACAUUUUCCUUCGAGAAGAAGAGAUUAUUAAAAAUUUGUUCAAAAAUUA